GUGUCUGUAGCCUAGUGGUAAAAAGCCAGCACUCUAGAUGCUGAGGUUGUGGGUUCAAAUCCUACCAGACACA
rnacentral:tRNA from 1 species